rnacentral:rRNA from 1 species
UAGUGGCGCACGAGUGAGUAACGCGUGGGAAACUGCCCAUCACUGGGGAAUAACGUUUGGAAACGAACGCUAAUACCGCAUACGCCGGAAACGGGAAAGAUUUAUCGGUGAUGGAUGUGCCCGCGUUGGAUUAGCUUGUUGGUGGGGUAACGGCCUACCAAGGCGAUGAUCCAUAGCUGGUCUGAGAGGACGAUCAGCCACGCUGGAACUGAGACACGGUCCAGACUCCUACGGGAGGCAGCAGCUAAGAAUAUUGGUCAAUGGGGGAAACCCUGAACCAGCCAUGCCGCGUGAAUGAAGAAGGCCUUCGGGUUGUAAAGUUCUUUUAGUCGUGAAGACGAUGACAGUAGCGACAGAAAAAGCACCGGCUAACUUCGUGCC